rnacentral:rRNA from 1 species
AGAGUUUGAUCAUGGCUCAGGACGAACGCUGGCGGCGUGCUUAACACAUGCAAGUCGAACGGUGAACCCCUUCGGGGGGGAUCAGUGGCGAACGGGUGAGUAACACGUGAGCAACCUGCCCCUGACUCUGGGAUAACCCCGGGAAACCGGAGCUAAUACCGGAUAUGACAUCUUCGGGCAUCCGAUGGGUGUGGAAAGAUUUAUCGGUUGGGGAUGGGCUCGCGGCCUAUCAGCUUGUUGGUGGGGUGAUGGCCUACCAAGGCGACGACGGGUAGCCGGCCUGAGAGGGCGACCGGCCACACUGGGACUGAGACACGGCCCAGACUCCUACGGGAGGCAGCAGUGGGGAAUAUUGCGCAAUGGGCGAAAGCCUGACGCAGCGACGCCGCGUGAGGGAUGAAGGCCUUCGGGUUGUAAACCUCUUUCAGCGCCGAAGAAGCGAAAGUGACGGUAGGCGCAGAAGAAGCACCGGCUAACUACGUGCCAGCAGCGGCGGUAAUUC